UACGGGUGGUGCAAGUGUUAUUCCUCUUGACUAGGUGUAAAGGGUGCGUAGAUGGAACAAUAGAAUUAAACUAAACAUAAACUUAUUUUUUUAUCUAUUUUCUUGAAUUUAUUAGAUGAUAAUGGAACUUCAUGCAUUAGAGUUAAAAUUCGUUAUAAAACUUGAAGGAACACCAAGGGCAAAGGCAAUUAUCAAUAGUAAAUUGACGUUGAGGCACGAAGGGAUGGGGAUCAAAUGGG
rnacentral:rRNA from 1 species